rnacentral:sRNA from 1 species
UGCAUACUCGCUAGUGGUCUGUACAGGCGGCACGGUUUGAUGGCAGAGAUAUUUUCUUUCCAAACUGUUCAAAAUGAUGAACGAAGAUGCAGCUCAGAAAAGCGACAGUGGAGAGAAGUUCAACGGCAGUAGUCAGAGGAGAAAAAGACCCAAGAAGGCAUAGGGAUUUCCAGCUUUACAACAUGCUAUGAAUUAUCCUCCUCUGUGUUAACACUUGUGUUAACCUCAUCCUAAGUCCUGGGGGAUGUCCUGUUCAACCUGCCAUUUCACCCAUAGUAGAGUUGGUCCACAGUGAAAAGUGGUGGAAAGACUGAAGUCUUUAUACCACUUGCAUAUAUUGUUCCUGAUCCUGCGUGGACAUUUCAGAGAACUGGUGCAUAAACUCUCCGCUCCGUGCC